AGCUUCGAAAUGGUGGAAGAAAAUUGAUAUGGAAUUUAUUUUUAGACGCCAAGGUGACUGUACGGUUCGAAGAUUGGAAGGGAAAAUUUGUCUAGAAAAAUUCGUAGAUGAAGAACUUUUCAUAAUCAAAGCGUAUUGCGAUUUUUACGAAUAAUUAUUACUUCGAGGCGCAGAUUAUUUGGGAAAAAAUCAUUGUGAAAUCUUCCGACCAUCCAACGAAUUAGCACUUUUCUUAACUAAAAGUGCAAUUAGAAAGAAGAAACGAUCAUCGGCUCUGCAGUAGUAAAUAAGGAAAGACGAGUGUCGAUGUCUGACGAUUGCAUUCACCAUCCACUGCGAGUUUCUCCCACCUCGCGCAAGCCUUACGUCAUGUCCUCCUACUCUGUUAGCGGCAAUUGAGCCACCUCUUCCCCGAGGAAAGUGUACCAUCGUCGACCAUUGGAUGCCAUGGAAAUCAAGGCUACCAAUUGGACGAUACCAGGUCUCUCUAACGUUCACCUAGGAAUCUCACGGAACGAAUUCACAGCGCGGCACACGCGAUGCACGUGCAGAUGCAACCUGAUGCAGCCACGAUGCGUUAUCGAUUCGAAUCUGCGACGUCACGCCUUCAAGUUGCACCAAGCGUUUAUGUUAAUUGCACGCGACCUUCGCUCGGGGCCGAUAGCUUUCUUCGUUUCGCUUGUAAAAAAAUGUGUUUGACAUUCGCUUUCGCAACGGAUCACGGAUGGGAAAAGUUGAUAAGAUUACAAAGGAGAAUCGAAAGGGAUUUCAAUUAGCGGCUGCGAUUACUGUUGUUCAAAAUGGCGUGGUAAAACGUGACAUCAAUAUAAUUUCGUUCCUUUUUUUUUUUAACAUCAACGGAUAAUAUCAGGAAAAUAAAUUAACUCAUUCCUCUAUGAAUAAUAACGGAGAGAAUGUAUUUCAUCCUUCUUUUCACAUUCAAUCCCCGAAGUUUGAAAUUUCUAAAAAAAUUUAAAUCCACGCGAAUAUCCGAGCAAGUAUAGCGAAGUUUAAUACGAAACAAAGCUUCGAUGAGAGAGAGAAAGAGAGAGAGAAAAAGAUUGAAAUUCCGCGCGAAUAUUCUUAAACCGUGUAUCGUAAAAACAGAAACGCGCGAUGAAUAAUUUAAGAAACGAAGGCGAAAUAAAAAUUCCAACUAUCUCAUGGACACGUAUUAAUCAACGUCUCUAAUUUCACGCGUGAGUGUGGACAUUUCCCCAGACAACAGGAUAAACAGCAAAAAUAAAACUUGUGGUGGGCGUUCAAAAGAACAAUUUGUCCCCCGAACUUUUCCCCUGCCCAAUGCGGGGAUAAACGUUCCCGAGGAGAGAGGGAAGCAGGAAAUAUAAGCCACGCUUGCAUUACCGGGAACAAGUUAUGCGAUUAAGACACCGGGUGAAAAUCUCGACGUGCUUCUACCAUAUACCGGUAUUCAAAGAACCGGGACGCGAAGUCGAGUCUCUCGAAGGUAUUCACUCCUAUGUAUAUAGCCCUAUAUGUAUGGGGACCACGCAUUGCACCGAUCGCGUAUUCCGUGGCAUCGAAGCAGUUUUUCUAGAAAUUCGAGGAAUGCUCGAGAUCUCCGAACGAGCGGAAAGGUCCUAAUUACAUUAUUGCGCCAUUGUCCAUUGUCGCGGCCUCCCCACGACCACGAGCUUCUUGAGCUCUUUUCUUGACGACAAAGAGAGAAAAAGAAGAGGAAAAAAAAAAAAGAGAGUCAACGACGAAUCAAGGCGAAGAGAAAACGAAAACGCGCGGAGGGAACGAAUUUUUUCCACCAUGAAAAUGAAAGAAUUUGACGUAAUUUAAUUUAUUAUCACGGAUAUUUUGCUCGAAUCGUACGUUAUUACACGUUUUUUCUAUUUUAUUUGCAACAAUUUUAUUCGCAACAAUGCGCGAGAAUUACGUAACCGUCGAUGAAACAAACACGAAAGGAAGCAUUUACCUAGAAAUCUACGAUCUCAAAUUCAUUAAAUUGUAAAUUCCAGCAAUUCCAGUAAUUAGUCGGACGCAAAAAAUAUUUGAUUCCAAAUCCGAGCUCGAGCGUUUUCAUUGGAAUUCAUUUAAAAACUGUAAAAGGGAAAUGAUACCGAACGUAAUUCCUCCAAGAUUAAAAAAAAUUUUCGUUCAACCGCGUUUAAUCAAAGGAAAAUGGUCGUGCAUAAUUUAAUCGUGUUAAUUCGUACAAAAUAUACAAAAAGCUAGGAGUAACGAGUACUGUGGAUCAACGAUGCAAAUCGAUCGAUCCACUCUCGAUCAGCACCUGCGCGUGGGUACACGCGAUUACAUAUGUAUAACUUCGACGAAAAGCAAUCAUUGGCAUCGUAUUUUAGAUUUUAUCGAGAGAAUAUUCUACCCACGAUAUCCCGAUCAUACGAAGAGAGGCAAUUAUUAGUAACUUGAGCAAAUUGUUGUCGUAAUUCACUUUAAUGGCUACACGUAUAGUUAAUGAUCCAAGAUGCUAUCAGACGCUUUUACGCGUUUAAGACCGGCCAACCAUAUUCCAACGAAUACUUCGAAUUACCGAAUUCGUUCAUCUUUUCCAAUCCAGCUAGGAUAGCUAAGAUUCCAAACAAUCGCGGAAAUCGAUGUAAUCAAAGUAUCCAUCGGAUAAGGAAUCAACGAAAGUGCACGGAGAGCGCAUGGAGAGGUCUCGACAACGGCAUAAUUCGCAUGCUUCACUCAUGGUACACGGACAUAUAUCCACGGUAAUUCGAGAAACAUAACUCAAGUCCCGGUGGAACGCUACAUCACGGCCACCAGUUUCUUGGCAGAUAUCGCCGCGGUGCACCGUGUCGGCUUCCCUUUGCUACUUUACCCGUCUUUUUCCUUUUAUCCCUUCUCACCCGCCUUGUCAACCAAGUUCUACCCCUUCUGUGCUAGAUUAACCGACUGUGAUGACUUUUCAUCGCGAUAUAUGUUCCCCAACUUCCUCUGUAUCCGCGUAAAUCGAUAUCGAAAAUUGUUUCAUCAGAAUUGAUUCGAAGUAUUGUACAAAAUUAUAAUGUUAUGUAUUAACGAAUUACAAAUUUAGAAAUUAAAAAGUAAAUAAGCAUU